rnacentral:rRNA from 1 species
UACGGGGGGUGCAAGCGUUGUUCGGAAUCAUUGGGCGUAAAGAGCGUGUAGGCGGCUUGAUAAGUCAGAUGUGAAAGCCCUGGGCUUAACCCAGGAAGUGCAUUUGAAACUGUCUGGCUAGAGUAAGGAAGAGGAAAGUGGUAUUCCUGGUGUAGAGGUGAAAUUCGUAGAUGUCAGGAGGAACACCGGUGGCGAAGGCGGCUUUCUGGUCCUAUACUGACGCUGAGACGCGAGAGCGUGGGUAG